AGACCCGAAACCCGGUGAUCUAGCCAUGGGCAGGUUGAAGGUUGGGUAACACUAACUGGAGGACCGAACCGACUAAUGUUGAAAAAUUAGCGGAUGACCUGUGGCUGGGGGUGAAAGGCCAAUCAAACCGGGAGAUAGCUGGUUCUCCCCGAAAGCUAUUUAGGUAGCGCCUCGUGAAUUCAUCUCCGGGGGUAGAGCACUGUUUCGGCUAGGGGGCCAUCCCGGCUUACCAACCCGAUGCAAACUGCGAAUACCGGAGAAUGUUAUCACGGGAGACACACGGCGGGUGCUAACGUCCGUCGUGAAGAGGGAAACAACCCAGACCGCCAGCUAAGGUCCCAAAGUCAUGGUUAAGUGGGAAACGAUGUGGGAAGGCCCAGACAGCCAGGAUGUUGGCUUAGAAGCAGCCAUCAUUUAAAGAAAGCGUAAUAGCUCACUGGUCGAGUCGGCCUGCGCGGAAGAUGUAACGGGGCUAAACCAUGCACCGAAGCUGCGGCAGCGACACUCAGGUGUUGUUGGGUAGGGGAGCGUUCUGUAAGCCUGCGAAGGUGGCCUGUGAGGGUUGCUGGAGGUAUCAGAAGUGCGAAUGCUGACAUAAGUAACGAUAAAGCGGGUGAAAAGCCCGCUCGCCGGAAGACCAAGGGUUCCUGUCCAACGUUAAUCGGGGCAGGGUGAGUCGACCCCUAAGGCGAGGCCGAAAGGCGUAGUCGAUGGGAAACGGGUUAAUAUUCCCGUACUUGGUGUUACUGCGAAGGGGGGACGGAGAAGGCUAUGUUGGCCGGGCGACGGUUGUCCCGGUUUAAGCGUGUAGGUGUGUGUUCCAGGUAAAUCCGGUUCACUUUAACACUGAGGCGUGAUGACGAGGCACUACGGUGCUGAAGCAACAAAUGCCCUGCUUCCAGGAAAAGCCUCUAAGCAUCAGGUAACAUCAAAUCGUACCCCAAACCGACACAGGUGGUCAGGUAGAGAAUACCAAGGCGCUUGAGAGAACUCGGGUGAAGGAACUAGGCAAAAUGGUGCCGUAACUUCGGGAGAAGGCACGCUGACAUGUAGGUGAAGUG
rnacentral:rRNA from 1 species